rnacentral:tmRNA from 1 species
GGAUGUUACGGAUUCGACAGGGAUAGUUCGAGCUUGAGUUGCGAGUCGGGGGGAUCGUCCUCGUUAUCAACGUCAAAGCCAAUAAUAACUGGCAAAGAAAAACAAAACCUAGCUUUCGCUGCCUAAUAAGCAGUAGCAUAGCUGAUCCUCCGUGCAUCGCCCAUGUGCUACGGUAAGGGUCUCACUCUAAGUGGGCUACACUAGUUAAUCUCCGUCUGGGGUUAAAUAGAAGAGCUUAAUCAG